rnacentral:misc_RNA from 1 species
GAUGAAGAACGCAGUGAAAUGCGAUAAGUAAUGUGAAUUGCAGAAUUCAGUGAAUCAUCGAAUCUUUGAACGCACAUUGCGCCCGCCAGUAUUCUGGCGGGCAUGUCUGUUCGAGCGUCAUUUCAACCCUCAGGCCCCCAGUGCCUGGUGUUGGGGAUCGGCCCAGCCUUCCUGUAAGGCCGCCGGCCCCGAAAUCUAGUGGCGGUCUCGCUGUAGUCCUCCUCUGCGUAGUAGCACAACCUCGCAGUUGGAACGCGGCGGUGGCCAUGCCGUUAAACACCCCACUUCUGAAAGUUGACCUCGGAUCAGGUAGGAAUACCCGCUGAACUUAAGCAUAUCAAUAAGCGGAGGA